CGAAAGGGCACUCUAAUGGGACUGCCGGUGACAAACCGGAGGAAGGUGGGGAUGACGUCAAGUCCUCAUGGCCCUUAUAGGUGGGGCUACACACGUCAUACAAUGGCCGGUACAGAGGGUAGCCAACCCGCGAGGGGGAGCCAAUCCCACAAAGCCGGUCGUAGUCCGGAUCGCAGUCUGCAACUCGACUGCGUGAAGUCGGAAUCGCUAGUAAUCGCGGAUCAGCAUGUCGCGGUGAAUACCGUUCCGGGUCUU
rnacentral:rRNA from 1 species